ACGCUCGACACCUACGUGAGGCAGCAGUGGGGAAUAUUGCACAAUGGGGGAAACCCUGAUGCAGCGACGCCGCGUGAGCGAAGAAGUAUUUCGGUAUGUAAAGCUCUAUCAGCAGGGAAGAAACUGACGGUACCUGACUAAGAAGCACCGGCUAAAUACGUGACAGCAGCCGCGGUAAUCUGAGCGGGCUGGCAAGGC
rnacentral:rRNA from 1 species